rnacentral:rRNA from 1 species
UACGUAGGUGGCAAGCGUUGUCCGGAUUUAUUGGGCGUAAAGGGUACGUAGGCGGAUAAGCAAGUUAGAAGUGAAAUCCUAUAGCUCAACUAUAGUAAGCUUUUAAAACUGUUUAACUUGAGAGAUGGAAGGGAAAGUGGAAUUCCUAGUGUAGCGGUGAAAUGCGCAGAUAUUAGGAGGAAUACCGGUGGCGAAGGCGACUUUCUGGCCAUAAACUGACGCUGAGGUACGAAAGCGUGGGUAGCAAACAGG